rnacentral:rRNA from 1 species
UACGGAGGGUGCAAGCGUUAUCCGGAUUCACUGGGCUUAAAGGGUGCGUAGGCGGGCAGGUAAGUCAGUGGUGAAAUCUCCGAGCUUAACUCGGAAACUGCCGUUGAUACUAUUUGUCUUGAAUACUGUGGAGGUACGCGGAAUAUGUCAUGUAGCGGUGAAAUGCUUAGAUAUGGCAUAGAACACCAAUGGCGAAGGCAGCUUACUACACAGCGAUUGACGCUGAGGCGCGAAAGCGUGGGGAUCAAACAGG